UUUCGCAAUGCCCGAAAGGGUGACGAAGCGACGCCGCGUGUGGGAAGAAGGCCUUCAGGUUGUAAACCACUGUCGGGAGUUAGGAAAUGCAGGUGCGUUAAUAGCGCACUUGCUUGACUAAGGCUCCAGAGGAAGCCACGGCUAACUCUGUGCCAGCAGCCGCGGUAAUACAGAGGCGGCAAGCGUUGUUCGGAAUUAUUGGGCGUAAAGAGCACGUAGGCGGCCCUGCAAGUCAGUUAUGAAAGCCUUCCGCUUAACGGAAGAACGGCAUCUGAUACUCCAGGGCUUGAGUACGGGAGGGGAGAGUGGAACUUCUGGUGGAGCGGUGAAAUGCGUAGAUAUCAGAAGGAACGCCGGCGGCGAAAGCGACUCUCUGGUCCGAAACUGACGCUGAGUGUGCGAAAGCUAGGGGAGCAAACGGGAUUAGAUACCCCGGUAGUCCUAGCCGUAAACGAUGGGCACUAAGUAGAGGGGUUUU
rnacentral:rRNA from 1 species